rnacentral:lncRNA from 1 species
CGGCCGCGCCUCAGGGACCUGCCUGCGCUGCUGCGGAGCGGGCUCACGCUGCGGAGGAAGCGGAGCGCCGCCGGGGCCCGGACUCUCUCAAGAAGAAUUUCCAAUCCAUACCUUGACCAUAGUCCUUCUCAGGUAUGAAACUGUUUUCUCAAUCCUUCUGUACUUUCUGUAUUGGUGACUGAAAAAUGCUAGUGGAGAAUGCUUGUGUUUGAGAUGCCCUGACCUGGAGUUUUGC